GUCUGCAGCCAUGCCACCCUGAACGAGCCCCAUUCCAUCUGAUCUCAGAAGCUAAGCAGGGUGGGGCCUGGUUAGUACUUGAAUGGGAGACCUCUUAGGAAGACCAGGUGCUGUAGGCG
rnacentral:rRNA from 1 species